GGUCAUCUAGUCCAGCUGCUAAUUUAACUGAUUUGUUAAUUAAGGUCAAGGGAGUUUGUGGGACUUUUCCCAAAACACCCAGCAAGUUAGUAUCCAUAGUGGGUCUCAAAUCCUGAUCUCCUCUUCUCCUUCUUCCUCUUCUUUCUCUUCCUCCUCCUCCUCCUCCUCCUCCUCCUCCUUCUUCUUUUUCAAAUCCUGAUUUCUUGACUGUCACUCUUCUCAUCUCUGUUCUUACUUUGAUUCAGCUGCCUCAAUUGGUCUAAAAAUAAGCAAUCAUUUGAAUAUCACUAGAACCAGGAAACUGGAGCUAUGCAUCUACUUAUAGAGUCAUGCUUUGAGAGCCACGAUGACUCAGUUAUGAAGAAAACGUGCCCAGGAGCUUUGUCUCAGUCUGUGUUAUAAUUGUCUUUAGAGAGUAGAAGUGUGUGCAUUAUCUUAGCAGGCUGAGCUCGAUGAAAUACCCUGGAAAGCUCUGAGGACUCCUACGUGGAGGUCAGGGAUGCAGAAGCCUCCGUAUUGCUGUUUCAUAUGCCUGUUUGCCCUUCCUAUUAGAAGGCUGGGAAUAUAAUUAGGAGACAGGCACCACAGAUGCCGCAGUUUACAAUAACCAGAAGAAACCGUCGAAACGGUUGGCUGUUUAUGCUUUUUACUCCCACUGUACUGUGAGCCCCUGGAGCAGAAAAAUUGGACAUCAUUCAUGCUUUUAUCCCCAGGACCAGAAAAAAAAAAAAAAAAAAAAAAGCCUGCCUGUCCUUAAGGCUGCUACAU